CCCCAGACCCCCACCCAGACCUCUUUCUUGGCCGUCUUUACACUCUGUGACCCCCACUAUUGCCCACAUGGUGAGGCUGGAGUCUAUCUCAGCUCCAAACCCUCUCAGCUCCUCAACUGCCUACUGACCUUGCCCAGUGGGCUACCCAACAGGAGUCUCAAACUAAUCACUUCCAGAGAUGACCACCUUCCCCCAGCCCAACUCAUUUUCUGUCUUCAUCUCAUCACAAUGACCAUGGGCGGUCUCAACCCCACAGCCAGAAACCUGGAGUCCCUGGAUUCAGUCACCUCGCCUCCCACACUGAAAUGGCUUCUGUGUACUUAGCUACUGCAUCUAGACAUUCCUUUUUUUUUUUCUUUGAGACAGAGUCUUGCUCUGUCACCCAGGCUGGCGUGAUCUCAGCUCACUGCAACCUCUGCCUCCCACGUUCUAGACGAUUCUCUUGUCUCAGCCUCCAGAGUAGCUGGGAUUACAGGCAUGCACCACCACACCCGGCUAAUUUUGUAUUUUUAGUAGAGGCGGGGUUUCACCAUGUUGGCCAGGCUGGUCUCAAACUCCUGACCUCAGGUGAUUCCCACGCCUUGGCCUCCCAAAGUGCUGGGAUUAGAGGCAUGAGCCACCGCACCCGGUGACAUUCCCUUUAAAGCUAAAAUAAGACUCAAUAUAAUUAAGAAACAAUAAAACCACCUUCUGAGACUCUAAAACCACAAAAAGUGUGAACUUUGCUUUUCUGGAUUUUAAUCUCAAACUCUCUUUGGUACAAGGAUUUGGUGUUGAACUGGGGCUUACUGGGUGCAAGUUCCCUGCCAGGGGUUCAGACCAGAGUGUUUCUACCUUAGAAGCUGGUCUAGUAAUUGGUAUUGGUUUUGUGUGGUAAAUAUAAGAUUUUUAAAAUUUAUUUGUUGACACAGGGUCUCGCUCUGACACCCAGACUGGAGUGAAGUGGCGCCAUCACAGCUCACUGCAGCCUUGAUCUCCUGGGCUCAAGCGAUCCUCCCACCUCAGCCUCCUGAGUAGCCGGCACCACAGGCAUGUGCUACCACGCCCAGCUAAUUUUCUUUUAAUAUUUUUUUGUAGAAAUGGGGACUCACCAUGUUGCCCAGGCUGGUCUCGAGCUCCUGGGCCUCCCAAAGUGCUGGGAUUAUAGGCAUGAGCCACCAUGCCCAGUGGUAUUUUAUUUUUCUUUUCCUUUUUUUUUGAGACGGAGUCUUGCUCUGUCACCAGGCUGGAGCGCAGUGAUGCGACUCAGCUCACUGCAACCUCCGCCUCCUGGGUUCAAGCAAUUAUCCGGCCUCAGCCUCCAAGUAGCUAGGACUGCAGGUGCGUACCACCACACCUAGCUAAUUUUUGUACUUUUAGUAGAGUCAGGGUUUCACCAUGUUGGCCAUUAUGGUCUCAAACUCCUGACCUCGUGAUCCACCCACCUCAGCCUCCCAAAGUGCUGGGAUUAUAGGUGUAAGCCACUGUGCCUGGCCUUUAUUUCUUAUUUUCAAAAAAACUUUUUUUUUUUUUUUGAGAUGGAGUCUUGCUCAGUCACCCAGGCUGGAGUGCAGUGGCGGCAUCUUGGCUCACUGCAACCUCCACCUCCCGGGU
rnacentral:lncRNA from 10 species